UGGUAAAGUCAAAGAAAGACUGUUCACAUGUGAUGUUACCCGUGGAGCCAACAAGGUAUUGGAUGAGCUGAGUGUGUGUUGCUUCAGAGAGGAUGCAUUGCUACAGUUUACUCAAAGCUUUUGUAUUUUUUGCUUGAAACACAAAGCCCCAUAUUGAAUGAUGGUUGUAUUGCUUUAACUAAUGAAUGUGUUGUGUAUGGUUUCAGGCUGACAUAAAGACGGCUGUGUCCAUAGGACUUGAAGAGAAGCUGAGUCAUGAACUUGAUCAAGUCAGGGAACCCAUGGACCCUUAUGGCUUUUGAAAGAUGUCUCAGUGGGGGGGUUAAAACAUCAAAGAGUUCAUGUGAAGAAGUCUUAAAGUCGGUCCUUUAUCCUACAAAGAAAGGUGGUGCACUUCACAGGUCACUGAAGUGUGGAGUUGAGAAUGGUGGCAUCCACAAACCAAGAGAAGGGGAAUGAAGAAACAUCAACAUGAAGCUAACUUCAUGUUUGACUGACAGCAUUGAGGAGGAAUUGAAGAAGACCUUCCCAAAUGAAGGAGAAAGAGAACCAUUCAACGGGGUCAUCAAUACAUUUCCACUUGGCACAGAGGAGGAGAUGAGGAAGAAGGAGUGCGGAAAUGUCAAACUGCAGCUGACAUUUCUCAAGAGGAAGAAAAGAUGAAAACAAACCUCAAGAAACUCCUCCGUGAGCGUAAGAGAAGGAUCUCCAGCAGCCUGACAACAACAAUGGAGGAGACCAUGAAAGAAUGCUCUGACAGGAAGACAGAAGAUCACUACAGACAUAGAAAUACACCUCUACACAUUUUGAUGUCAACAUGUUUCUGUUUGAUGUAGGAGCAAAAGAAAUGAAAGGAGAAGGCACGCUGAAAAACAUGAGGGGAACGAUUGAAAUGCACGUUCAUGGUUCAAAAGACGUCAUGUUUGAUAAGGCUGAAGACGCCAUGAUGAAACAGCUGAGAGACCUGAUGCUUUGUCACAUUUGAUAUUUCCUCCUGCAGUCAAAUGAAACUAGGAACACUGCAACACAAACAUACAUGUGCACACAUGUCAGUGUUCAGUGAUCAAUAUUUCAAUGCUGAUUUAGUGGGAGAUCCCGGAGAAAGUGGAGAGCACGAUGCAGGAAUCAAUCCAGCUGUCACUCAAAACAAUUGGUGUCUCCAUCCCAGGUGAAGGAGACACAUCACAAACAAU